rnacentral:rRNA from 1 species
GACGAACGCUGGCGGCGUGCCUAAUACAUGCAAGUAGAACGCAGUUGCGAACGGGUGAGUAACGCGUAGGUAACUGCCUCAUAGCGGGGGAUAACUAGUGGAAACGAUAGCUAAUACCGCAUACUGUGAGAUGGACAUGCGUUGUAUUAGGUAGUUGGUGAGGUAAAGGCUCACCAAGGCGACGAUACAUAGCCGACCUGAGAGGGUGGUCGGUCAACAUGGGAAUGAGACACGGGCCAGCAUCCCUCUGGAGGCAGCAGUAGGGAAUCUUCGGAAAUGGACGGAAGUCUGACCGCGCAACGGCGCGUGAGUGGAGAAGGUCUUCGGAUCGUAAAGCUCUGUUGUUAGAGGAGCGUUAACUAACCAAAAAGCGACGGCUAACUCCGUGCCAGCAGCCGCGGUAAUAC